GUGGGGAAUAUUGGACAAUGGGCGCAAGCCUGAUCCAGCCAUGCCGCGUGAGUGAUGAAGGCCUUAGGGUUGUAAAGCUCUUUUGGCGGGGACGAUAAUGACGGUACCCGCAGAAUAAGCCCCGGCUAACUUCGUGCCAGCAGCCGCGGUAAUACGAAGGGGGCUAGCGUUGUUCGGAAUCACUGGGCGUAAAGCGCACGUAGGCGGACUUUCAAGUCAGGGGUGAAAUCCCGGGGCUCAACCUCGGAACUGCCUUUGAUACUGUUGGUCUUGAGUCCGGAAGAGGUGGGUGGAAUUCCUAGUGUAGAGGUGAAAUUCGUAGAUAUUAGGAAGAACACCGGUGGCGAAGGCGGCCCACUGGUCCGGUACUGACGCUGAGGUGCGAAAGCGUGGGGAGCAAACAGGAUUAGAAACCCCGGUAGUCC
rnacentral:rRNA from 1 species